GGGGAUUUAGCUUAGUGGCUUAAGCGCCUGCCUGGCAAGCAUGAGGUCAUAGAUUGGAUCCCCG
rnacentral:tRNA from 1 species